UACAGAGGUCUCAAGCGUUGUUCGGAUUCAUUGGGCGUAAAGGGUGCGUAGGUGGCGCUGUAAGUCAGGUGUGAAAUUUCGGAGCUUAACUCCGAAACUGCAUUUGAUACUGCGGUGCUUGAGGACUGGAGAGGAGACUGGAAUUCACGGUGUAGCAGUGAAAUGCGUAGAGAUCGUGAGGAAGACCAGUGGCGAAGGCGGGUUGCUGGGCCGACACUGACGCUGAGGCGCGAAAGCUAGGGGAGCGAACGGG
rnacentral:rRNA from 1 species